AUGGCGACCGGCGCACGGGUGAGUAACACGUAUCCAACCUGCCGAUAACUCGGGGAUAGCCUUUCGAAAGAAAGAUUAAUACCCGAUGGUAUAAUCAGACCGCAUGGUUUGAUUAUUAAAGAAUUUCGGUUAUCGAUGGGGAUGCGUUCCAUUAGGCAGUUGGUGAGGUAGCGGCUCACCAAACCUUCGAUGGAUAGGGGUUCUGAGAGGAAGGUCCCCCACAUUGGAACUGAGACACGGUCCAA
rnacentral:rRNA from 1 species